UUUUUAAUACAUGUCAAUUGUUGGACAACGUCAAUGAAGUGAAAAAUCAAUAUACCUUUUUCCUUACAAUAUGAAUAAAAUAAUACGAUGAAAUAAUUAUAAUAAACGAGAGUGAUAAACGUGAGUGUGAAGGAGUAAGGAGAGAGAAGAACGAACCAAAAAUUAAAUACGGCGGCCGCCGUUAACAAAUCGGAAUCUAUACCCAGUGCGCCACUUAUCCCGGUCCCGAGCCAAUCUCAUCCAGAAGUAACCCGCAGUCUUCCGAAUGUCGUCCACCCAACGAGCCAACGGACGCCAGGCACUCCUUUCGUCUGAAAGCGGUCACCAUUUCUGCCAUCUAUCGGAGGUCUUUUAUCAUGAGGGCUAUACGGACUUUAGACACAGUCGCGAAUAAUUAACGUGUGCUCUGUUUAAGCCAUGUUCGAAGAUUUUUGAGCCAUGAGUUACGUCUUCGUUCGGAUGAUCUUUUCUCUUGGGUCUUUCCUUGGAUGAUUAGUUGAAGUAGUUCAUACUUCUCGUUUCACAUGA